UACGAAGGGGGCUAGCGUUGUUCGGAAUUACUGGGCGUAAAGCGCGCGCAGGCGGUCUUCCAAGUCAGUGGUGAAAGCCCGGAGCUCAACUCCGGAACUGCCAUUGAAACUGUUGGACUAGAGUAUGAGAGAGGUGAGUGGAAUUCCCAGUGUAGAGGUGAAAUUCGUAGAUAUUAGGAAGAACACCGGUGGCGAAGGCGACCCACUGGACCGGUACUGACGCUGAGGUGCGAAAGCGUGGGGAGCAAACAGG
rnacentral:rRNA from 1 species